rnacentral:lncRNA from 1 species
CAGGAAGACACUUGCCUAUUAGCAUUCGCCUGCUGCUUUGCUGUGCUACACAUGGUACAGGCUGGGAAUACGUGCUCUGGGAUGGUCAGUACAUUUUUGGUCUUAGGAGAGCUAGUUUUUCAGUGCCAACUCAGUUUCUUUGGAGCUGAGGGAAUUUGCUUUGAAAGUUGAGAGAAAAACAUGCUUCACAGUUUUCACAGUUAAACUCACCAGAAAUUACUUCAUUUGUGGCUGUUUUUGGCUUUCAUGCCCCAGCUAUUUUGACAUUUCACAUAAGUUAAGUGACAGAGAAUUAGUCGGCAUGCAUACUUAAAUGCCUGUAUGUUUGUGGCCAUUUCACAUUCAGGCAAAGGGUCUAGCUUUCCCUCAUGGGAAUUUCCUCCUCCUAAAAUAUAUGCAUCAUUUACAAAGUUACUUCUGCACAGGAGAAGCCUCUAGUCAGAUGUAGUUUGCAUACUUUCCAGAUCCUUUUUACUGCCAUAGAAAGAAAGAUAAAUACAACAAAAGCCUUGAGUAGCAAAGUGGCUAAUCUUUAGGCCGGGGUCAGGUAUUUACUGGAGAAGCAGCUGUGCCAGUUUAAGAGGUGAUUGACAUCCAGCUGUUUGACAUCACUCCCCAGCGGCUGUACAGUCAGCCCUGUUGCAUAAUAGACAAGACUGUAUAAAAAAAUUCCUCGUUCUUUGCAGGGCAAAGUCAGCUGGGUAAGCUCAGAUAACUUCUGCUUACUAACCCUGCUGCCUUUGCACUGGAGCAGAUGAGGAGUGCCCAGGUGAUUUAUCCCAACAUCGGAGCUGUACCAGGAAGUGGGUAAUUUCCAGUUUGUGCAUGGGCAUGGACGUUUUCAAAUGCCACAAAACCAUCUCUGCAACGCCCACGUGACCAUGGCUCAGAAUAUACUCACUGUUUCAGAGGCUGUCAGUAACCGUCCUCUUCCAGACCCGGCUGUGCAGGCGAGGAUGGCAGGCAUCUGGCAUGGCUAUUCCCAGACGCUCAUGGCUCUUCCUGCAGCUCCAUGGGUCGGGAUGGUGCUACUACAGACAAAGCGUGCUGAGUUGUGCAGGAGGCGACUCUUGGCUAUGGUGAAAAUGCAAAACUGGAGGCAGAGGCAGCAAGACUUUCAACAGUCUGAGGUGUUUGCAAAGUGGAUAAUUGUGCAUGACCAGACAUCACUUUGGGCCGAGAUGCCCAGAGUUCCCUGAGAAAAGAUCAGCGUCCUUUCGUGAACUUGCCUUCAAGCCAACUGCCAUUAAGAAGACUCUUAAUUAACUUACCAGAGUUUGAAUUCACCUUAGCUAAAGACAUUCAAGAAGUCUCUUCCUCAAAAUUUCCAAUUUUAUUUUAAAUCAAAUGGGCAUCUUAGCAGAACAGGAAUUUAAUAAAUUUGCAUUAAUGAAAAACA